UAGCUCGGAGGAGAAGUUAUGAUUUUAUCUAUUUUUCUACUUUUUUGUGUGUUUAUUUUCCUUAUUGCGGCUCGUUUCUCCAUUAAACCCGUAAAUAUACAUAUUUAUAUAAAAUCCGAUCAGAGUGUCGCGAGCGGGGCAGUAAUCAAUCGACCUGGAGUUUGUGCCUUUCAUCUCGGGAAGAACCGCGGCUCCGCCUUUUACAGAAACAAGGAUUUUAUGUUGUGGCUAAUCGGUGUUGACCUUCCCAAGACAUACAAGAGCUGGUCUGUCGAUUCCCCGAGGUCCACCAUCAACCACCCAAUGACAACUACUCUGGUCAUUUCAUCAGCAAGGAUGGCUGGGAGCCUGAAAUGACAAUGAUCCUUAUUCUUCAUCAUCACACGCCAUUGUUGUUAUUU